rnacentral:rRNA from 1 species
UACGUAGGUCCCGAGCGUUGUCCGGAUUUAUUGGGCGUAAAGCGAGCGCAGGUGGUUUAUUAAGUCUGGUGUAAAAGGCAGUGGCUCAACCAUUGUAUGCAUUGGGAACUGGUAGACUUGAGUGCAGGAGAGGAGAGUGGAAUUCCAUGUGUAGCGGUGAAAUGCGUAGAUAUAUGGAGGAACACCAGUGGCGAAAGCGGCUCUCUGGUCUGUAACUGACGCUGAGGUUCGAAAGCGUGGGUAGCGAACAGG